rnacentral:tRNA from 1 species
GAGGUUAUAGCUCAAGUGGUAGGGCGCAUGCUUAGCAGGCAUGAGGUCCUGGGUUCAAUCCCCAGUACCUCCA